rnacentral:rRNA from 1 species
UACGUAGGGCGCAAGCGUUAUCCGGAAUUAUUGGGCGUAAAGAGCUCGUAGGCGGUUCGUCACGUCGGCUGUGAAAUCCCGAGGCUCAACCUCGGGUCUGCAGUCGAUACGGGCGGACUGGAGUACUGCAGGGGAGACUGGAAUUCCUGGUGUAGCGGUGAAAUUCGUAGAUAUCGGGAGGAACACCGGUGGCGAAGGCGGCGACCUGGGUAGAUACUGACGCUGAGGUGCGAAAGCGUGGGGAGCAAACAGG